rnacentral:rRNA from 1 species
ACAAGCAGCGGAGCGAUGUGGUUUAAUUCGAAGCAAACGCGAAGAACCUUACCACGAUCUUGACAUCCAAUUGACCAUCUUUUAAUCGUAGAUUUUGCCUUCGGGUACGAAUUGAGACAGGUGGUGCAUGGUUGUGUCAGCUCGUGUCGUGAGAUGUUGGGUUAAGUCCCGCAACGAGCGCAACCUUGUGUUUAGUUGCAAACAGGUCAAGCUGUGCACUCUAGACAGACUGCCGUGGACAACACGGAGGAAGGUGGGGAUGACGUCAAAUCAUCAUGCCCCUUAUGAUCUGGGCUACACACGUGCUACAAUGGCCGGUACAACGGGCAGCGAAGGAGCGAUCCGGAGCGAAUCCUAAAAAGCCGGUCCCAGUUCGGAUUGCAGGCUGAAACUCGCCUACAUGAAGUUGGAGUUGCUAGUAAUCGCGAAUCAGAAUGUCGCGGUGAAUGCGUUCCCGGGUCUU